UUAAUAUGAUCAUUGCCCCCGUUUAUACUAUUACUGAAAUUAUCCUCAAUAGUAUGUCUACUAGGAAUGAUAUGUUGCGGCUCGUUUGGACUUUUUAUAGCAGCAACGAAUAUUGGAAUUGCGUUGGCUAUCCCUUGAGCAACAAUAUUUUCAAUAUCUUGUUUGGUCAUAUAUUGAUCUUCUGGGUGAUGCUCUGACUGAUUACCUUCAUUUACUGGUUCGUUAUCAUUAUUUGCCAUCUGAUAAUAAUUUAUUAUGAGUAAUUAGUAAUUAGCAACUUAUACAAAUAAUCAGACAAUUCAUAACACAUAAAGUCAAAACUUAUCAAUUUCUCGAUUCCAUUUUAUAUCAGUAUAGUAUGCAUCAAUACACACCGAUAUUUUACAACGUUUUAUUCGUUAUGUUACAACUGGUUUCACUAUUUACUUUUACUAUUACACAACGAUAGUUUUAUCAUCUUCUUAUCUCUCGUUACUUGAUACCCUAAAAACGAAGUUCCCUUUCAUCAUAUUUCCAGGCAAUCUGUGUGACAACCCUCACUAAACCAGGUAUCCGUACGAUUUAAUUAAUAAUUAAUUGCUGCUAAAUUACUGUGCUUAACUGAAAUUGCCAAUGAAUUGCUACUUGAUUUCUAGCACUUGUAUAUUCCUGCAUCAUACUUUGAUUUCCGUCACUACAUUAUUUACACGUUGAACCUUAGUGACAAACAUGAUGCACUAAAGCACAGUAGCAUUAGAACGGAUAACCUAUUGAACAUGCUGAUAAAGCCAGCAUCAGGCAGACACUGCCUCUAAGGGCCUGUAUGAGCCAGAAAUAUUUUACUACACCCAUAAUGAGUGUAGGGAUACAAGGGUUGUAGAACUGCGUCUCUAGGAAUAAGAUAUAAUGAUUGGAUGUGCCUAAAACGUACUCUAAGCACAAAACACAGCACUUUUAUUUAACAUACUAGCUUCUGGCUAACUGAUAAAGUGCCAAAACAUGAGGAAAUAUUCCUGACACUUUGCAGAACAAGGUGUGUCACUAAAAGUAUUAUUAAUGACGCUUAAAAAGCUUACUUAAGCACUUUAAUGGAUUACUAUCCAACCGAACAACCGGAAUUUACCCGGAACAUAAAAAUAUUGCCAAAAAUAUUAUUGACCUUUUUCUGAGCCAGUUAGGGUCCCUGAUCACCCUAACACCCGCGUUAAAGCGCAACAUGUAACUAACUAAGUUAACCCCUAAUCUAACUUAGUUAAUCUAACUAAACUCUAACUAAACACUUGAAAUCGAACUAGAUACCCCCCCCAUUAGAAAUCGGCCAACUAGGGGGAACCACAAGAGUACAAUUUUGAUUAUUUAAUUGAUUUGUGCUUAAUAUCAAGAAGACAUAGUGACCAUUGGAGUAAGAACAAGGAAUUGUCUAUAAAUACAAACACUAAACACAUGAGAGAAUACACUUCACAAUCACCACAAAACUCUUUCUCUCCUCUCCUCCCAACUCUCGGCCGAACACUCCCCCUUGUCACCCAUCCAUUUUCGAGUCUUGAUCUCUUCAUUUCAACAUCAUACAAGUGAUAAGGGUCACGUAUUAGGAGUCUUGGAGCAAACGGAAGUGGAAGGACCUCGUUACCUUGCUUUUAUCCACCACAUUUUCGCCUAGAAUCUUCCCUAGCCCCGAGCUAGAGGUAUAAUGCUUAAAACUCAUUCUCGAACAUAUCUAAGGUCGUUAAUAAGAUUUGUAACGGUUAAAAUGCGGAAACUUAUCUUUUGAAUCUUUAAAGUUUACUAAAACAUGAAUCUUGUUGGUUAAAAGAUCAUAAGUUGUGUAAAAGUUGUAGUGUUUAAAUAUGGUGAUUAUUUAGGCCCGAUCUACGUUGUGGUAGCUCGGAUCAUCGUUUAACCCGACUUUGUUAAGAUCAUAGAUCUUGACAUAAGCUUGUUUCUAUCGGUACGAGGGUUAAAAGGUGAAACUCUACCACACGAGAAGCAUGAACUUGUAUAAAAGUAUUUUCACUUGUAAAAUAGUAUUUAAAACUAGCGGAUCUACGUAUGUACAAGUGGUAUUUUCGUAGAACCAAGUGUCGAGAAAAUCAUGUUUUAUAAAAGUCGGAUGACACACUAACAAAUAUGAUUUUUUACAAACCACAAGUGUAUAAACACUUGUGAACUGAAAAGUUUCGACAAAAUAACAAUCUUUGAGAAAGAUGACGGGAAGUUGUAAAGGAUGAUUUAUUCUAAAAACGAUGUUUUUACGGGAUUAAGUUAUUUUACACAUAGAUCCACAAAAUAUAACGGGAUCUACACUAUAGUUUUCGGAAAAACCACAAGUUCAUGUGAUUAUGCGAUUUUACAUACUUGUCGACUAGUUUGAUGUGUCGGAAAUUGAUUGAUUGAUUAAAGAAGUGUUGAAAUGAUUUUGUAAAAGAAAAUGAUACGCUAGAAAGCGUGGCCACCUCCAGUUACAGGGGAAACUCUGGCGAAAUUUUUCUAAAAAUAUAACACUUAGAAUUAUUUACAAGUGUUAGAAUUAUUUUUGAUAUGUUUUCAAAAUAUAUUUCGCCACGACUUUAUUUACAAAUAUUCGGAGGAGGGAUUUUCACAAAACUAAACGUGAUAAAUAUAUAUUUGGUAAAUAUAUUUUUCACAACACUGUUUAUGAUUAUUUUGUGAAAAUAUAUAAAUAUUAUUUUUAGAGUAAAAAUAAUAUUUCAAACGAUAACAAGACCCAAAAUAAUACAAACGCUUACACGACAAACAUAUAAGUUACAACGGUAAUUAUUAUUACCACACGAUUACUAAAACGUAACUUACGCAUUAUACGGAACUAUUCGUGAACGCGUAUUUCGUCAACGCAUUAUUUUGGAAGUUUUAUGGAAAGUGAAAAUAUAAUAUUUUUGAGAAAAAUAUAUAUAUUUUGGAAGUAGAAGUAAAAAUAUAUUAAGUGGGACUUAAUGAUAUAAUACAAAUACACAUGUAUUAAAUCCCCCAUCCUUGGGAAGGAGAUUAACUACCAAGUACAUGCAAAAUAUAAACACGAAAUAGUUGUCUAACUAUUUCCCAAAAACUUAAACUAUAAAGCUAAGGCACGGCCAUCCGUCUAAUAGAAUUAGCACAUGUAGGUCGUUGCACAGCUGCCUGACAUCCGGAUUACUUGGUAUAGCGACGCACUGACUGGUGUUAUCCCGUUAAGACAAUGUUAUGGGAAUUAAAAGAUCUGGCACGGUAUGGCAUGUUUUCCGCUGCAUUAGUCAUCGAGGUCAUCCAGGGUUCGGGGAAUGUGACUCUUUCUUGGACAAGUCACAGUCCUUGAAUCAUGUUUAUGUUAAGAUUGAAUUUUGUAAUGUUUGGUGAACAAGUUUAUGGUUGUUAGGGUGUUAUCCCGUUAAGACAAUGUUAUGGUAUUUUUAUUCUAAUGGAUGAUCUUGCAUAUUUUUAAUUCAUAUAGCUUUGUUAUGAUUAAGCUAUGGUAUUAAGAAGUCACACCAAAUUAACCACGCUUCCGCAAAGCCAGGGUGUGACAAUCUGUCCCCCUAUCUCCCUAAUUCUAUUCCCUGCAUCCAUCAAUUCUUCACCGAAAUGGCGAAGUUCAGCCAGAUUCUCAUUGCUCAUUGGUGGAUUAGGUAGGGGUUCUGGAUCGAAUUGUGGAAGAAAGGAAUAAGGGUCGUUGACAAUAUUUUGGAAUUGCCAAUCAUUUGUCCACCAUUCCUCCAUUUCUACAGGUUGGAAGUGUACUAUUGGAUCUGGGAUUGCUGGUCCAGAGUUCAUAGGAAGUGGAUUUUCAAUAGGAUAGGUAAAAAUAUUCGUAUUGACAGGCUGAAAAGUAUCACAGUUUGCCAAUAGAAUAUCUAUCUGCUCCUGAAAAGUUAGCCUUUGGUUUUGGUUGGUACUCUCCCCAAUUUCUACCUGAGUUGGUCUAGAAUCUUGCCCUAUUUCUGUUUCUAUUUCUUGAGAAUAUUCCUCAAACUGUUUCUCCAUUUGCCUAAACUCUUUAUUGGCUUCAGUUUCCCUCUCUUGCUGAUUAGGGUUUUCCUGGAUUAUAAUUGCCUUUCCUUUUCCUAAAGGGUCGUUAAUUCUAGGAGGUUUUGUAACUGGCUUUUUCCUACGUAUACGGCUUCUCCACACAUAAUUUUUCUUUUUCUUUCUUUUUGGUUUGGUCAAUGGUGGAGUAGGAAAUUUUACAGGUUGGUCCACAUCAGCAAAAUAUCCAGUAAAUUCAUGAGAAACUUCUAUAUUCACCGGGUAAAGAUUGAGGUUCUGAAAAGCUUCAGAUAUCUCGUUCAUGCUGUGUAGCAUAUAUGCAAAAUGCACAAACAUAUUAAGUUAAAACUUUGGAACAAAGUUUAACAAAUAAACAUGGAAGUUUUAUUGCACACUAUUUGUACAAAAUACAGGAAAACACAUUCAGAUUUAUUUUACUAAAUUUUAUUUAUUUACUUAUUGGGAAGUGCUGUUUGCCAGAUGUAGGGCAUCUAAAGAUUUGCAUGUUCUGCCACACUGGCUAACAUAUACAAAUUUGCCAAUUUUUCAUCGAGUUUAUCUUCCCAAGGUGAUUUCUUAAUUAACUCCUGGGUUUCCUUUAUAAUCUUCUUUUCUCUGAUUUGCUCCUUACUUUUCUUAAUAAUCAUAUUCCUUUUUCUAGGAGAAAGCGGAUAUUCAUAAUUCGCUUUUUGCACAAAUAUUCCUUCUUCAGGAAUUGUAGGGAGCUUUGAAAAUUUAGUUUUAGACGAACUUCCUUCUUCGUAGACUGACCUAUCUAGUUUAAGAUAGAUAUCUUGUAACUUUUGCUUACCCAUACUGUAAUUAACAAAUAAUCAGUUUAAAAGCACAUAAACACAUAAUCACGUAAUAGUAAUCAGGAAAAAUUAAGUAUCUUUUAAAUACUUAAUUAGCUUAACUUAGUGGCUCUGAUACCACCUUGUUUCUGUCACGGCCUCCGGCCCGGUUUGACCCGUUCCAGGAGCCGCGGGACAGAAAUCCUGCGGUACUUUGUUUAUUGUGAGUUUAGCAGCGGAAAUUUUAUUUACAGGAUCGUUUAAGCUAAAAACUUUCCCCGAUUAUUUUAUUUCACAAUUCGGGAUAAAACCCUGAUAAUUUACAAUAGUAAGAUUUUCUGGAUAAAACACAUUUCUUUAUUUUAUACUGAGCCACUAUCUUAAGCUUGAAAUGCUUCCCCUGCAUUUUUCCUGAAUUACAGCAGAUCACCUGAAACAUGUUUGGAAAAGAUUUUAUCAGCGGGGAAAUACUGAGUGAAUUAUUCUAGUUGCUGAAAAUGACACAUCUGUUAUAAUUCACAGUGUUAAGAUCUUUUACAAUGUUUCUGAUAUCAACCAACUACCCACAGUACUUUACCACUCGACCCAUUGGCCCACCUGUCCAAUGGUGUCUGUGAUUAUGGUCAUAUCACCCAAUGGCUGCCCCAAUGGUGACGAUUAUCAAGUAAAGUGCACAAUACCCCACAUACCGGCUGUAACUUGGUGAUUACAUAAACUUAAUCACUGUAAUUUAUAAUUCUGGAAAUAAUUUGGAGUAUUGUAAAACAGUUGAUAAAAAGAGAAUAACUCACAUUGCAGAUUUAGUACUGACAGAAUAUGAUUUUAGCCCUGUUAACCUAAUUUCAAUAAUAAUGCACACAAAACAGGGUUAGUGAACAAUACAACAGUCACGAUAUCUCACGAGAUCAAAUUCUCACAAUGAACGACAAAGUGCGAUACUUAAACUCAUUUAUCGAAUUAACGACAAACGACAAAGUAUAAUACUUAAACUCAUUCAUCGAAUUAACGAUAAACGACAAAGUAUGACCCAAUGUGGGCGGCACUUAAACAUUCUUUGGAUAUAUUGGUCUCGGAAACUGAAUCGUAAUAGCGAUCGAGUAAUUACCCUGUUCCGCGGCAGCACUUCGUGAUCGUGUGUGUUUAAUUUGUGAUAUAACAGCCUAACAUCGAUGUACAGAACGAAUUCGAUCGACGUUUUAACACCAACAGUCGAAUGCCAAGGUCGGUUAUUUAUAGCCCAAAUUUCAUGUUGCUUACGGACCGUAUGACCUAACCCUUACGGUCCGUAAGGCAAGCUGGUAGGCUUACGGUCCGUAAGGACUAACCCUUACGGUCCGUAAAGGUGCGGCCUAGCUUGUAGAUUAGCCUAGUCAGUGGCAUAGACUUGGUGAAUCAACAACAUUCGAAAUUCAGUAUAUACAACGCAUAAUUUAAGAUAAUUAUCGAAUAGGGUUUAACCCCCUGAGUUUUUAGGGCCCUGAUCCUGAUUCCGAUUAUUCCGGAAAUUUUAGGGUUAGUGCGGAAUUACUUGGGUGUCUCAAUUAAGGUUUCCUUAUUGACUAAUUAUUAUUCUAAUUACUAAUUUUAAUGAUAGUUGUUACAGUUUUGACCCACGACCCGACCCGACCCGACCUGAACCGACCCAUUUGCCAGGUCUAAUCUCAACACAAACAUCAAGCUGGUAAUACAGACCAAAAUCAUGCCACUUCACUUUUUAUCUAGCAAAAUAAAAUAGGUCUUCAUGUUUUAUAAAUCAUAAAUAUAAUAUUGUUUUAUGAACUUAUAUACUUAUCAAGGAGACAAACAAGGGAGCCUAGUAAAUCUAGCUGUACUGCUGACAGUAGCAGCAUUACGUUUGCUUCUGUCCCGCAAUCGAUCUGUUCAUAUAAUCAGGCUGCGGUAAUGGAAGCGAAUUUGGAUGAAUAGAACGAACUUUCAUCGAGGAGCAAUGAAUUACUGUUUUUGCUUCUGUUCCGCAAUCGAUCUGUCGUAUAAUCAGGCUGCGGUAAUGGAAGCGAAUUUGGAUGAAUAGAACGAACUUGCAUCGAGGAGCAAUGAAUUACUGUUCGAUGUAGCCGCUCAAUCUCCAACCCACUAUGGAUGUUACGUGAUGCUGGUGGGAGAGAACCCACUGCCAUGCCUCUGAAGAAGAGAAACAUCUUGCUAAUGAGUGUUCAGCAGAACUAAGUGCAAAAGUGAAUCAGAUACAGAGAUGGAGACUUGUCAACAGGAUAAGUCAAUAAUACUUAAAAGGAGGCUUGCUGAUGAGAUUGAAAGACAGAGGAUGAAAUGCUUCCCCUAACCGAAAAAAGAAGCAACAACGGGUGUAGGGUAUCAUAUUUAUUUUGAUACCGACAGGGACUUAAAGCUCGUUAAUUUGCAAGAAAAAAAGAGUGUAGCUGGCUAGUGAAGAAAUGUCGAAUUACUUGCAGCAUCAACCAUUUGUAGCCAUAGAUGGUCAAGGUGGGCUAAAAAGACCUGUUGAAAAUUCUCUGAGAUGCAAAGUUAUCUUUUAAAGGUAUUGACGAGGAAUGCAAACUUACCUUGCCGUGAAGCGCUCGUGCUUUUAUAUCUGUAUAUACAACUUAUAUAUGAAUCGUUUAAGGUUUGAAUUAUGUUUCCGCCUCGUAUUGUUGACUUCGCCGUAACGUGCGGGUUCCCCACUAGUUUGUUUGCAUGUCGACUUGUGUGAAAUAUCACCAAUUUAUGGUGGACUUUGUUUAUACACGCCCAAUUACUAAACUUUUGGUCUUUGGUUUUUUGUCUUUAUCGGAUUUUUUUU
rnacentral:lncRNA from 1 species